AUGACAAGUAAGGAUGGAUCUAAAAC
rnacentral:piRNA from 1 species